rnacentral:rRNA from 1 species
AGCGAACGCUGGCGGCAGGCCUAACACAUGCAAGUCGAACGAACCUUUCGGGGUUAGUGGCGGACGGGUGAGUAACACGUGGGAACGUGCCUUUAGGUUCGGAAUAACUCAGGGAAACUUGUGCUAAUACCGAAUGUGCCCUUCGGGGGAAAGAUUAAUCGCCUUUAGAGCGGCCCGCGUCUGAUUAGCUAGUUGGUUGAGGUAAUGGCUCACCGAGGCGACGAUCAGUAGCUGGUCUGAGAGGAUGAUCAGCCACAUUGGGACUGAGACACGGCCCAAACUCCUACGGGAGGCAGCAGUGGGGAAUCUUGCGCAAUGGGCGAAAGCCUGACGCAGCCAUGCCGCGUGAAUGAUGAAGGUCUUAGGAUUGUAAAAUUCUUUCACCGGGGACGAUAAUGACGGUACCCGGAGAAGAAGCCCCGGCUAACUUCGUG